CCUACCGCCACUUCAAGUCAGAGUAACCAGUUUCCUUUCCAGGCUCGGCUAAGAAGCCUUACAGGAAAUAGGAAGUGGACCCUGGCAAUGGACUCAGGCUGCUUUGCUGAAUGCGUUCAGUCCAAGGUGCAGCAGCUUCUUCAAGUGGCCAAUAUUCAUCAAGUUUUUCUAGUAGCCUCACAUUACAAUAGGCUGCAGAGACUACCAAGGAUGGCCUAGUUGUGAUGUCUGUGUGCCAAGUUCUUCCCUCCAGCCCAGACAUUUCCUGAACUCAACACCAGCUUGUCCAUCUGCCUCUAGAUGUUUCUGUGUGGAUAUACUGCCAACUUGUUCAUCUCGGUUUUUGAGUUGGUGUUGAAGUGCUCCAUUGACGGAACCCCAAGCAGUGCUUCUAGCCCUUUUUCUCUACUUCUACUAUACCCUGGAUUUCAGGCCAAGCAGAUGGCUCAUCCGUCCCUCAAGAGGUCGCCAUUCUUUCCUCUUCUCUUUGAAGAAGAUUCCUCACACCCAGAAAAACCAUCCUUCUGUCAGAUGGAGAAGGCUCUGCCUCCAGGGUUCUGCCAAACCAUCCACAAGAGCAAGACAAAUGGCAAGACCCAAGACUCCAAGCCACAGGACUCUCUCAUUUCUAAGAAUUCUGAAAGUGAGGGCUCAAGGGAAAUAGUCCGAACUCACUGACCUCUGGAGUAGUCAAACAACCCACCCUUUGAUUUGCUUGGUCAGUUCCCACUUAAUGCCAUUGAGAAAAUAAAAAUCCCUUUCUAGAGGAAAUGAAAGGAAAA
rnacentral:lncRNA from 1 species